rnacentral:rRNA from 1 species
AUUGAACGCUGGCGGCAGGCCUAACACAUGCAAGUCGAGCGGAUGAAGGGAGCUUGCUCCUGGAUUCAGCGGCGGACGGGUGAGUAAUGCCUAGGAAUCUGCCUGGUAGUGGGGUAUAACGUCCGGAAACGGGCGCUAAUACCGCAUACGUCCUGAGGGAGAAAGUGGGGGAUCUUCGGACCUCACGCUAUCAGAUGAGCCUAGGUCGGAUUAGCUAGUUGGUGGGGUAAAGGCCUACCAAGGCGACGAUCCGUAACUGGUCUGAGAGGAUGAUCAGUCACACUGGAACUGAGAAACGGUCCAGACUCCUACGGGAGGCAGCAGGGGGGAAUAUUGGACAAUGGGCGAAAGCCUGAUCCAGCCAUGCCGCGUGGGUGAAGAAGGUCUUCGGAUUGGAAAGCACUUUAAGUUGGGAGGAAGGGCAGUAAGUUAAUACCUUGCUGUUUUGACGUUACCAACAGAAUAAGCACCGGCUAACUUCGUG